GAAUGAAGCACCACUCUGUAGCACAAAGCUAAGCUGGGGGCCUGGGAAGGGACCCUGUAGUCCUAAGAGGCAGGACCUUUCGAAAGCAACCAGUGAGCCCAAGUAGACUCCAAGCAGAAUGUCCCCACUCCGUCGUCUUCCUUCAGGAUCUCCACUCCUGAAGGACUACAGCCUCACUCUAUAGGAGUCUCCUGCCUGACAAAGCAUAGCUUUUGGCUCCCCAGGCUCUGUACCUCCCAAAGCCCUGUUCUGGUCCACCAGGCUUCUGGAAUGGUCAACAGUCGUCACACUCCAUUGCUGGCUAUUGUCUACUCCGAAAGAAUUGCUGCUGAGGACAAUGGGCAUCACAUCACUCAA